rnacentral:rRNA from 1 species
UACGGGGGGGGCAAGCGUUGUUCGGAAUUACUGGGCGUAAAGGGCUCGUAGGCGGCCAACUAAGUCAGACGUGAAAUCCCUCGGCUUAACUGGGGAACUGCGUCUGAUACUGGAUGGCUUGAGUUUGGGAGAGGGAUGCGGAAUUCCAGGUGUAGCGGUGAAAUGCGUAGAUAUCUGGAGGAACACCGGUGGCGAAGGCGGCAUCCUGGACCGGCAUUGACGCUGAGGCGCGAAAGCUAGGGGAGCAAACGGG